CUAAAAUAGCAUACCAUCACCAAUGCACCGGAUCCCAUCAGAACUCCGAAGUUAAGCGUGCUUGGACGAGAGUAGUACUAGGAUGGGUGACCCCCCUGGGAAGUCCUCGGGUUUUCGGGU
rnacentral:rRNA from 1 species